UUCUAAAAUAACCAGACAAGAUACUAUAUUAUCAAAACAUUUAAGUAAUUCAAAUCAACACUCCUUAAAAAAUCAAAUCCAAAAUACAAGACACUUAAUAAUUAAUCCAACAACCACCAAAAUAUUAAACAAUCCUAAAGUUUUUUCAUUGGAGUUUAAAGAUGUCAAAGAUUUCUUUUUAGCAGUUGACUUUGAAUUAUUAUAAGGACGAGGUCAAUCAACGUCAUCAGCGGAUGUCAUCUGUAUGCAAGUUUACAUCAAAACAUAUAAAAAUCAAGUCAUUAGCUCAUAUGUCAUGCGACUACAAUUAAUAUUUUCAAGUUACUAGUACACAUUUUAAGAUACUACACUCAAAACCAUUUUCAAAUAUCUUAAUUGACAUUUUUUUUGAAUCUUCAUUUUCAAAUAUCUAAUUGACAUUUUAUUUCACUAGAAUUAGCCAUUUUCAAAUAACUAGUAGACAUUUCAAGUAACUACACAACCAUUUUCAAGUCACUACUACGCGUUUAAGUUACUAUACUUGACCAUUUUCAAAUAACUUAUUCACAUUGCAAGUCGCCACACUUCAAAUAUUUUCAAGUCACUAGUACACAUUUCAAAUCACUACACUUAACUAUUUUCAAUUAACUAAAUCACUUUUCAAGUCAAUAUACUUAAUCAUUUUCAAGUAACUACAUUUUAUUAUUUUAAAGUCAUUCGUACAAUUUCAAGUGACUACACUUAACCAUUUUCAAGCAUCAAGUUCACAAUUUUAAGUAAAUACACUUAACAGUUUUCAAGUCACAAGUUCACAAUUUCAAGUAACUACACUUAAUCAUCUUCAAGUCAUUACAAUUAAUAAUUUUCAAAUAACUUAUUCCCUGGUACACAUUUCAAGUCACUACACUCAAACCAUUUUCAAAUAGCUAAUUAACAUUUCAAAUCACUAUUCUUAACUAUUUUCAAAUCACUAGUGCACAUUUCAAGUAACUACACUUAACCAUUUUCAAAUAAUUAAUUCACAUUUCAAGUCCCCACGCUUAACCAUUUUCAAGUUACCAGGUCACCAAAAUUUAAGAGUGUAAUUUUUUUUAUAAAAAAUACUUCCAUACUUGCACAGUUCCAUAGAAUAAAGCCCAGUCGUGCAUUUUGAAUUUAAACCAUAUAUAGAAUAUUCCCAACUACUCACUAAAUCAUUUAUAUCUUAACUAUCUAAUAUUCUGUAAUUGAAUUGAUUAAGCUUUUAUGAAGAAGACCACCUUAUCAGGCCACCUAUUACUACAUGACAAAACUAACAAAUCAAAUAAAGCAGGGUUCUUGAAGUGGUUGAAUUUUCAAUCAAAUAAAAUGUCUUAUUCUUGUUGGCCAGAAUAAAGAAUAAGAGCAUAUGAAACGAGGUGGAAUGUGAUUCCGUUGAGAUGUUCUAGCUACACAUUUAUACAUCACUCCACUAAUACAUAACAUCACAAACAAAUGAAGAAUUUGUAUUCAUUUCAUGGAUGAAUAACAAUUAAGUCAUUCAAUGCCCAGUUCAGAAAGUAACGUUAGCCAAGCAUGAAAUCGAAACAUUCAAAAUAGAGAAACUCAGAUCCAAGUUAACCCACAUAUUUCAUAUUCCAAAACAAGUAAGAUAGAUCCGAGAACGACCUUACCGGAGACAAAUUCAUUAUGCAAUUGAUAUAUAAAGCAUUGGAAUCGAACCCUUGACACCCUCGUGGGGUUCGGUCAAAGCAGGUGAUGGCGCAAAUGGCAUGGCUCUGCAGCAGCGAGAGGAGGGAAGGGAGAACGGAGGGUCUUCGCCGGAGAAGGAGGGGGCGAAGGCGGCUGUCGCGAUGUUCGCUGGUGUGGUUGUCAUCGUUGGGCGCUGAAGGCAUGACAGGACUUGGCUCGGCACUGGGGUUGAUAGUGGCGGAAAUAGGAGAGCAGAGGUGGCGCCAUAGCUGGCGUUGCUAGUUCGGUCUCUCACCGGUGAUGGCGACAGCGGGAGAGGGCUAUUGACAGCGGAUAGAUCGGAGGAGAGGGAGGAGAUCGAGAUUUGGAGGGGGAUUUGUAGAGAGAGAGAAGGAGAGGGAAAAUAGGUAGAGAGAGUGUUGAAGGCGAAAGUUGUUAAAAAAUGACUUGGGUCUAGGGUAUUAGAUUCUUAAAAGGAAAUGGAUGGUCGAAAUCAUCUCUGUCGUUAGAUCAAUUUUGAUCAACGACUCGGAUUAAAAAUGAGGUUAACGCUCCAAUUCUGAUAUAUUUGUGACUAAAAUUGACACGAGCUGAAUUAAAAUUGGCUAAAUUUGUAAUAAAUUGGAUAGAAUGAACUAAAAUUAUAGUGACUUAGACAAAAA
rnacentral:lncRNA from 1 species